GAUGAACGCUGGCGGCGUGCCUAAUACAUGCAAGUCGAGCGAACAGAUAAGGAGCUUGCUCCUUUGACGUUAGCGGCGGACGGGUGAGUAACACGUGGGUAACCUACCUAUAAGACUGGGAUAACUUCGGGAAACCGGAGCUAAUACCGGAUAACAUUUGGAACCGCAUGGUUCUAAAGUGAAAGAUGGCUUUGCUAUCACUUAUAGAUGGACCCGCGCCGUAUUAGCUAGUUGGUAAGGUAACGGCUUACCAAGGCAACGAUACGUAGCCGACCUGAGAGGGUGAUCGGCCACACUGGAACUGAGACACGGUCCAGACUCCUACGGGAGGCAGCAGUAGGGAAUCUUCCGCAAUGGGCGAAAGCCUGACGGAGCAACGCCGCGUGAGUGAUGAAGGGUUUCGGCUCGUAAAACUCUGUUAUUAGGGAAGAACAAACGUGUAAGUAACUGUGCACGUCUUGACGGUACCUAAUCAGAAAGCCACGGCUAACUACGUG
rnacentral:rRNA from 1 species